GGGUUGUGAGGUUAAGCGACUAAGCGUACACGGUGGAUGCCCUGGCAGUCAGAGGCGAUGAAGGACGUGCUAAUCUGCGAUAAGCGUCGGUAAGGUGAUAUGAACCGUUAUAACCGGCGAUUUCCGAAUGGGGAAACCCAGUGUGAUUCGUCACACUAUCAUUAACUGAAUCCAUAGGUUAAUGAGGCGAACCGGGGGAACUGAAACAUCUAAGUACCCCGAGGAAAAGAAAUCAACCGAGAUUCCCCCAGUAGCGGCGAGCGAACGGGGAGGAGCCCAGAGCCUGAAUCAGUGUGUGUGUUAGUGGAAGCGUUUGGAAAGGCGCGCGAUACAGGGUGACAGCCCCGUACACAAAAAUGCACAUGCUGUGAGCUCGAUGAGUAGGG
rnacentral:rRNA from 1 species